ensembl:miRNA mir338-2 microRNA mir-338-2
UGGUGUUGUUGUCUCCUGGAAACAACAUCCUGAUGCUGUCUGGGUGUGGAAAAGCAGAACUCCAGCAUCAGUGAUUUUGUUGCUGGGGGAGAGCAAAAUCUG